rnacentral:rRNA from 1 species
GACGAACGCUGGCGGCGUGCUUAACACAUGCAAGUCGAACGGAAAGGCCCUGCUUUUGUGGUGUGCUCGAGUGGCGAACGGGUGAGUAACACGUGAGUAACCUGCCCUUUACUUUGGGAUAACUUCAGGAAACUGGGGCUAAUACCGGAUAGGAGCGCCUGCUGCAUGGUGGGGGUUGGAAAGUUUCGGCGGUUGGGGAUGGACUCGCGGCUUAUCAGCUUGUUGGUGGGGUAGUGGCUUACCAAGGCUUUGACGGGUAGCCGGCCUGAGAGGGUGACCGGCCACAUUGGGACUGAGAUACGGCCCAGACUCCUACGGGAGGCAGCAGUGGGGAAUAUUGCACAAUGGGCGGAAGCCUGAUGCAGCAACGCCGCGUGCGGGAUGACGGCCUUCGGGUUGUAAACCGCUUUCGCCUGUGACGAAGCGUGAGUGACGGUAAUGGGUAAAGAAGCACCGGCUAACUACGUG